AAUGAUCUGUUUCUUUGAUUCUUCUGUUUUCACACAAGCUAAUUUGUUCUAAAGGUUUCAUUCUCCUUUAAUGACUAUGCAAUGAACAAUGUGAUCUGAUUUAUUAAAUGUUUUUCACGAUGUCAGUAUAAAUUAUGCAAUAUGUAGCUCGGAUCAGGCAUUGGCGGAGGCAUGAAUUAUGUAUGUAAAUUUAAAAUCCAUCUAGUUUGCAUAGAGCAUUGAUAUGUGGUUUGUUCCUAUUCUAACUUUUCCUAGGCUUAAUGCGAAGUGUAAAUGUAUUUAUGACAGGUCCCAACAUGGAUCCUUGUGGAACACCAUGAGGUAGUGAAGUUGUCCAUUUUCAGUACCAAUUUUCAAUAUUAUGGCUCAGGUCAGAAGGUGAAACCCUGAAGGGGUUUCCUGCUAUUUUUUUCUUUUCCAUUUAUAUUGAGACUUAAUAAUUGCAUAAAAAGAAAAAAAAGUAACCAAAAUUACGAGUUAUCUUGCCUUACAUUGCUUUGAUUUCAAUGGUUUUCAAGUUUUUUGUUUUUUCUUGUCGAUCAUGAUAAGCUCUGAUAAUUAUAGAUACACUCAGUUUACAUUUAUUGUGGACUUAUGCAUUUGAAUUCCAAUAUACAUAUAUAUUAAUACAUACAAGUAUGUGAUCAAUUUUGACAUUAGUAUAACAGUACUAUUUUGUAUUGCCUCAAUAAUUCCAAAUUACAGGUUAUUUUCUACAAAUUCUUAAUAUUUCUAAAAUGAGAAUUUUUAUUGUCAUAUCUGAUUGUGAAAAUAUACAUUUUUAUGUGAAUGCAUAUUUUAUUACUCAUUUACUAGUACUCCGUAGUGUCUGUAGGUUAAGUUUGGAAUGGUGCUUUAAUAAUGAAUUAAUGAAUUCUUAUAUUUUUACAUCCUUUAUUUUAAUUGCCUUAUUACAUGCACAUUUGUUUUUAAUGAAAUUCAUCCUAUAUAUUGCACAAACAUGUACUUACCAGAUGUGAAUAUUUAGACUUACUUCAACUAAUUUUAAAAUGUGCAUUAUUUGUUUCAUAAAACGGGUUGGGAGUAUGGUUAUGUAUUGGAAAGGUUGUAGAACCUCUCCAAAUUUUCGAGGCUCGCACGGAUGAAGAGAUAACACCUGACUUCUAUUGUGACAUAACAGGCGUAUGUGAUAUGUGCGCGUAAGCGCAAAAAUCCUUGUCUUAGUCCUUUCUUUGAAGAAGAAGGAUUUCAGAUAGCAUCUCAGUUAUUACGCGCUCUGAGUUAAAUGAUGGCCCAAAAUUGCACAGUGAUGCACUUGCACAACUUGGAGGUUGCAUAGAAUUAAAGCAUGACUUCGUGACGUGACUUGCAUUGGCUACAAUCCUUGAACCCGUUUUAUAACAAGUUAUGAGGUGUAAUAUGGUAUAUACUCACCUAUAGAUGUUCAUUGUUCAUUUUAUUCAUAUAAAAAAUGUAUUCUAUCUUGUUAUAAUUUUUCAAAACUCAAAUUGUCUUUUUAGUCAAGGAAAGCAAAUUAUGUGCCCAUUGUUAGUCAAUUCAUUUUUUUUUUUAAUUAUAUUGUUAUCUUCUAUAUAUCAUAAUUUUCAAUUAUGAAUCUAAUGCUUUACUUUUUUUAUAACUCAUGAACAUUUAGAUACUAACUGAAAAUAUAGUCCAACUCGAAAAGAAAUGCUCUUUUUAUAUUCCUUUUAUAGGUUUAUAAUUUCUGCUUUUAGAAUUGUUUUAGGUAUUGUUUAAAAUUUGUUGCUAAUCCGAAUCUUCCUGUUGAAUAUAUUGCCACUUACAAAAAAAGUCUAGUUGUAUUAACUUCAUAUGCAAUAUUACUUUGUAUUUUUUGCCUUUACAAAAGACAAGUAUUUUAACCAAGAAUUAUGUGUCGAUGUAUUCUAUUUGUGUUUUUAUCUAUUGUCAUUUAGAUAAAUUUAACGAAAUAUUGUUUAUUACCAUAAUGUGAAUGUUCUAGUCUAUUGUGGGUUUUUCUGUUUCUGUAACUAUAACAAGACAAGUUUCUAUAAUUGAUGUUGAUAAUAUAUAGAUGUGCAUGUAUUGUAUAUAUAUUGUAUCUACCCAGACAUUGAGUAUUCUGAAAAUAUUUGUCAUGAUAUCCAAAAUUAAAAGAGAAGGCUUUAAAUACUUAUUCCAUUUUUAACUGAAAAUAAAUUCCAACUGCCCUGUACUGGGGAAUAUUAGAGAUUUAGAAGAGAAAAUUCCAUAUUAAUGCUUGUGUAUUGUAUGUCUAUGCAGUCUAUUUUAUUCCAUCCAGGAUUUCUACAAGCUUUUCUUCCCAAAAUUCAUUUCGAAAUAGUGGUUUUUCAUUGAAAGUUAUGAAUUAUUUUUUUAUGUGACAAUUUUUAUAUUUCGUGGUCAUAUCAAAAUCAAAUUCAUAUCAUGCUAUUUUCCGCAAAGUUUUAGAGCAAAGUAUUUUGGAGACAAAUCAAGUUCUUUAAUGCAGUCACACUUAGUUGAAAUGUAAGGAAAACUAAAAGCUCUCAUUUUGGCACUUCAUAUAACUUUAUGAACAUCUUUUUGAAACAGGCUCCUCGAUGCAUAUUUUAUCGUUAAUGUGCACUGUAUCGUUGAUUAUACUUUUAAUGUGUUUUACAAUGAAGUGCAAUCUUAUUUUAAAGAUUUUGAUACAUUUUUGUACAAUGUAUGUAUCUCUUCCAAUAGUUGUGAAAGAUAUUUUUCUAACAGAUGAUUUGUCGAUAAAUAAAGCAUAUAUUUCAUGAUACAGA
rnacentral:lncRNA from 1 species